rnacentral:rRNA from 1 species
CCCUUAGAUGUUCUGGGCCGCACGCGCGCUACACUGAUGCAUUCAACAAGCCUAGCCUUGACCGAGAGGUCCGGGUAAUCUUUGAAACUGCAUCGUGAUGGGGCUAGAUUAUUGCAAUUAUUAAUCUUCAACGAGGAAUGCCUAGUAAGCGUGAUUCAUCAAAUCGCGUUGAUUACGUCCCUGCCCUUUGUACACACCGCCCGUCGCUCCUACCGAUUGAAUGUGUUGGUGAGGAGCUCGGAUUGGCAGCAGUUGGUGGUUCGCCACCGGCUAUUGCUGAGACGUCCUCCAAACCGCCCCAUUUAGAGGAAGGAGAAGUCGUAACA